rnacentral:tRNA from 1 species
GGAAGUAGAUAAACUUAGGCCGCUAACCUGAAUUAAAUAUUAAUGAUAUUAUACUUCCU